AACGAACGCUGGCGGCAUGCCUAACACAUGCAAGUCGAACGAACCCUUCGGGGUUAGUGGCGCACGGGUGCGUAACGCGUGGGAAUCUGCCCUUUGCUUCGGAAUAACAGUUAGAAAUGACUGCUAAUACCGGAUGAUGUCUUCGGACCAAAGAUUUAUCGGCAAGGGAUGAGCCCGAGUAGGAUUAGGUAGUUGGUGGGGUAAAGGCCUACCAAGCCGACGAUCCUUAGCUGGUCUGAGAGGAUGAUCAGCCACACUGGGACUGAGACACGGCCCAGACUCCUACGGGAGGCAGCAGUGGGGAAUAUUGGACAAUGAGCGCAAGCCUGAUCCAGCAAUGCCGCGUGAGUGAUGAAGGCCUUCGGGUCGUAAAGCUCUUUUACCAGGGAUGAUAAUGACAGUACCUGGAGAAUAAGCUCCGGCUAACUCCGUGCCAGCCGCCGCGGUAAAAC
rnacentral:rRNA from 1 species